AUACAUACGAACUGUGACCGAAAUGAUU
rnacentral:sRNA from 1 species